CGCGGAGUGGAGCAGUGGCAGCUCGUCGGGCUCAUAACCCGAAGGUCG
rnacentral:tRNA from 1 species